GCGAGGUUUUGCCAGGUUUAGGUUGUGACCCAAUAGCCGACGGAGCCCGUUCCUCGGCGUUAGACUCCUGCUUUGCUUGGGGAAGUAUGCUGUAGUGUGAUCACCUAUCAUUCCACUUGAUCUUGAAAUUAAUACGCCCCGAAGUGAAAUGAGCACUAAAGAGACAGUCCUGCCCUACUUGCCAUGGCUUGGCACGGCAGCUGCAUUAGGCUUUGCCUUCCUGGCCUAUAGGUCAUACGGCAAGGCAAAGGGACGCGUUAACUUGCAAAUCGACAUGACUAACCCCAAAAUUGUGAAUUCUGUUGACAUCGAGGACAUUGGAAACAAAGCAGUCUUCUGUCGUUGCUGGAAGUCCAAGAAGUUUCCUUAUUGUGAUGGAUCACACAACAAACACAAUGAAGAAUGUGGUGACAAUGUUGGCCCUUUAAUUGUCAAACGAAAGGAUGCCUGAAGGACCGGCAGGCUGACAUAAAGAAUCCUGCAGCUCGUUUUCUUGCUAGCCUGCGAGCUAUUAGUUCAAAAUAAAUUUUAUUGCGACUAUACCCUUC
rnacentral:lncRNA from 1 species